rnacentral:lncRNA from 1 species
AGGACAUGGCUCCUGACUCCUGUGCGGAACGUGAGUGACUGAGCGGCAAAGCCCGAAUGGUCUCUAGCGACCGGCCCGUGUCACUGGAGGACGAGGUCUCCCAUAGUAUGAAGGAGAUGAUUGGAGGCUGUUGCGUUUGCUCAGACGAGAGAGGCUGGGCCGAGAACCCGCUGGUUUAUUGCGACGGGCACGGCUGCAGCGUCGCGGUGCAUCAAGCUUGCUAUGGCAUUGUUCAAGUACCCACUGGACCGUGGUUUUGCAGGAAAUGUGAAUCUCAGGAGAGAGCAGCCAGAGUGAGAUGUGAACUUUGUCCCCAUAAGGAUGGAGCUUUAAAAAGAACAGAUAAUGGGGGUUGGGCCCAUGUGGUUUGUGCCCUGUAUAUUCCAGAGGUACAAUUUGCCAAUGUUUCCACAAUGGAACCAAUUGUUUUACAGUCUGUUCCGCAUGAUCGUUAUAAUAAGACUUGCUACAUUUGUGAUGAACAAGGAAGAGAAAGCAAAGCAGCCACUGGUGCUUGCAUGACAUGUAAUAAACAUGGAUGUCGACAGGCUUUCCAUGUAACAUGCGCUCAGUUUGCCGGACUGCUUUGUGAAGAAGAAGGUAAUGGUGCCGAUAAUGUCCAAUACUGUGGCUACUGUAAAUACCAUUUUAGUAAGCUGAAAUAUAAAGAGAAGGACAAACACAAACAGAAACACAAGAAGCAGCCAGAACCAUCACCUGCAUUGGUUCCAUCCUUGACUGUUACUACAGAAAAAACUUAUACAAGCACUAGCAACAACUCUAUAUCUGGAUCAUUGAAGCGCUUGGAAGAUACUACUGCACGAUUUACAAAUGCAAAUUUCCAGGAAGUCUCUGCACACACCUCUAGUGGAAAAGAUGUUUCAGAGACUAGAGGGUCAGAGGGCAAAGGGAAGAAAUCUUCAGCUCACAGCUCAGGUCAAAGGGGAAGAAAGCCUGGUGGUGGAAGAAAUCCAGGAACAACUGUGUCAGCAGCUAGCCCUUUUCCUCAAGGCAGUUUUUCAGGAACUCCAGGCAGUGUAAAGUCAUCUUCUGGAAGUUCAGUGCAGUCUCCCCAGGAUUUCCUGAGCUUUACAGACUCAGAUCUGCGUAAUGACAGUUACUCUCACUCCCAACAGUCAUCAGCAACCAAAGAUGUACAUAAAGGAGAGUCUGGAAGCCAGGAAGGGGGGGUAAAUAGUUUUAGUACCUUAAUUGGCCUCCCUUCAACCUCAGCUGUUACUUCACAGCCUAAAAGCUUUGAAAAUUCACCUGGAGAUUUGGGUAAUUCCAGCCUUCCUACAGCAGGAUAUAAGCGGGCUCAAACUUCUGGCAUAGAAGAAGAAACUGUAAAGG